rnacentral:rRNA from 1 species
CCUACGGGGGGCAGCAGUGGGGAAUAUUGCACAAUGGGGGAAACCCUGAUGCAGCGACGCCGCGUGAGGGAAGAAGGAUUUCGGUAUGUAAAGCUGUAUCAGUAGGGGAGUUAAUGACGGUACGUGACUAGGAAGCACCGGCUAACUACGUGCCAGCAGCCGCGGUAAUACGUAGGGGGCGAGCGUUAUCCGGAUUUACUGGGUGUAAAGGGAGCGUAGGUGGCUGGGCAAGUCAGAUGUGAAAACUCGGGGCUCAACCCCGGGAGUGCCUGUAAUACUGUUGAACUGGAGUACAGGAGCGGUAAGCGGAAUGCAUGGUGUAGCGGUGAAAUGCUUAGAGAUUAGACAGAACACC